AUUGAACGCUGGCGGCAUGCUUUACACAUGCAAGUCGAACGGUAACAGGUUAAGCUGACGAGUGGCGAACGGGUGAGUAAUGCAUCGGAACGUGCCCGAUCGUGGGGGAUAACGCAGCGAAAGCUGCGCUAAUACCGCAUACGAUCUGAGGAUGAAAGCGGGGGACCGUAAGGCCUCGCGCGAUCGGAGCGGCCGAUGUCAGAUUAGGUAGUUGGUGGGGUAAAGGCUCACCAAGCCGACGAUCUGUAGCUGGUCUGAGAGGACGACCAGCCCAACGGGGACUGAGACACGGCCCAGACCCCUACGGGAGGCAGCAGUGGGGAAUUUUGGACAAUGGGCGAAAGCCUGAUCCAGCAAUGCCGCGUGCAGGAAGAAGGCCUUCGGGUUGUAAACUGCUUUUGUGCGGAGCGAAAAGGCUCUCUCUAAUACAGGGGGCUCAUGACGGUACCGUAAGAAUAAGCACCGGCUAACUACGUGCCAGCAGCCGCAGUAACAC
rnacentral:rRNA from 1 species